AUGGCUUCUUGGCCACUCAGCUAGGAUCAAGUACAGUGUCUGUUCUUACCAGGUUAAUAUCUGAUCUAUCCUUUCCCAGGGUCAAUAUAGUAAAGGGCUUGUUAAAGGAGAUGAAAUAGGAGCUUGCUCUGUCUAUUCUACCAAUCAACCUGGCACUGCAAAACCUGAAAGAGGCAUGCGCCCCU